rnacentral:lncRNA from 1 species
CCGCGCUCUCCUGCCGAAGAGGAGUAAGUGUUCAUCUUCCCAGCUCUCCCCCACACUCAGGGCCCGACCCCCUGGGACCCGACUGCGGAAAUGGAUGACCUCAGCCAGCCGCCCCGGCUCACAGACAGCGGGAAACGAAGAAGCCAGGGACGGGCCCAAGGUCACGAGGGGCCCUGUGUCCUGUCCUCCUUCCCGGACUCCACUCUCCCCACAGCCCCAGGACGGAGCUGGAGCCGGGGAAGCCCUGGGAGCCGACUCCCGGGAGGAGGGCGGGGUGAUGCCCGCGCCACUGCUUCCCGCUUCUGAGAAACGCUCUGGCAUCAGAGUGGAGGGGGAGGCGAGAGGAAUUUGGCGGAGAUCUGGAGGCUGCCGUGGGGGCCCAAGAGGUGGCUGCCUGGUCAGGGCGCUGUCAGCGCUGAGCGCGGCCCAGCUGGCUCCCGGGGGCGUGGCCGCGGCCCGGGACUCGGCGCAGGAGGCAGGGACACUUCCGCGUGCCCUUCGGCGGCCUUUGCCCGCAGGGAAGCGACUCGCGUCAUCGCACCAGAACCGAAGCGCGACGUGCGCGCAGACUCCUCACCGUCGUUGUCGUUGCGCAACUCCGUGUGCCGGACCGUGCUCGGGGUCUUGCCCGCAUUCCCUCGCUCCGUCGUGCCCACUGUGCUCUGGAAUCAGCGAGGACCACCCCCGCCUCCACGUUCCCACGCGGGGACACACAGGCUGCGAGGCUGCUGAGGUUGCAGAGGUGAUAAGCGGGAGCCAGACCUCCAAUCCCGGCCUCCAAGGCCCCAGCCCCCGCCGCCAGGCCACCACGCUGCACCUGCUCCACCUCCUGGCACCUCAGGUGACACCCGAACAUCAGUCAAGCGGGACCGGCCGGGAUCCCGGCCAUCUCGACCCCCACCCCGCCACUUUCUCCUCCGAUUGGGGACGUCGGCAGGGGCAGAGUGCCAGGAGAUUCCACCCGUCGUCCCCUCGUGCUGGCCUUGCUCACCCACGGAUGAGUCAGCUGGAAUUCCUGGACAUCCCAGGCUCACCAGCGGUACCAGGAGCUGUCAGGAGGCAGGAAUGCACGGAAUGCGGCUCCCUGCGCUCCGCCUGCACCCCCCACCCCUGCUCCCCAGGCCGAACCCACAGAGAGGCUUGGAAGGCUCUCCUCCAGGGGUGCAGCUCCCUGCCUUCACAUGAUGCCGUAAAAGAAUGUCAUCCACCUUCCUCUCAUCCCUGAGAACAAGAGGCCAUUUCUUGGCUGGGCAAUCAAGCCACCGUGAGUGCUGAGGAGAAGGAGGGAUGCCGUGUGCCCCUCAGCCAAGGACUCCCUUUGGAGAGCAGAUGCCCCCAAGGCAUCACAACCCCAUGUCCUGAGUCCCUCUCUUGAGGCUGUCUCCUCUCACCCAAGCUAGGUAGAGCGUCUCUCUGGAAGGUGCUUCAUAUCCUUUCUGGAAUGGAGGAUUGCCCAUACCCACUCCAUUUUUUAAAACUGAUGGAGAAAUUAAGUUUCAGAGAGGCUAAGUUACCUGCCCAUGGUCACCCAGCUAGUGAGUGGCAGAGUCAGAAUUUGAGCUCAGGUCUAACCCCAAAACCCGUCUCUUCCCUAUGUGCCUCAAAGGAGCUGGAUGCAUCUCAAGAUACCCCUGCACAUGUGCUCAGAAAUAGUGUCCCCAGCCUUCCUGAGUGCCUGAAGUGCACCUCAUUGGAGUCAUUGCCCAGUGACUCCAGUCAUGGAUGGCCAAGAAAGGUCAGAGAUGGGUAGAAGGAAGGUAUACAAGAAAUCCCUCAGCAAAGGUUUGACUACGGCAGGACCGACCUAAGUGUGACAGCAAGGCCUAGGGACUCAGGGUUGGGAGGAGGGAAGGGAAACUGCCAGGGGGGCCCAGAGGCUGGUAGAGCAGGGUGUGAGAGCAGCACCAGCCAGAGGAGGGAGAGCCCCCCUCAAAACCCCACAGGGCCGCUCCGGGGCAGGGACUGGUUUUGGGGUGGAAGGGCCCAGCGUGACUAGGAGGCAUUAGUCAGCAGUGGUGGUUUAUGAAAGGAGGGAUUGUCCUGAGCCUCCUUACUCACCGGGCCGAUUGGGUCGUCCCCAGAGCCCGGGAGCAGAGCUGGUAUCAGAGAGGACCGGGAACUCGGCGCCGCUCACUGCCCAGGUUGAAUGGCCAGGGCAUCAGGGGCGGAGCGUGGGGGCCUGUGAGUCACAGCCCUCGGCUGGCAGGCUGAGUGUCUUCAUUGUC